rnacentral:rRNA from 1 species
CGGGAUGGGUGAGUAACGCGUAGGAACCUAUCGUGAAUGGGGGAUAACGCUGGGAAACCGGCGCUAAUACCGCAUGAGCUCGGAGACGAGGAAAGCAGCAAUGCGCUUGAUGAGGGGCCUGCGUCCGAUUAGCUAGUUGGUGGGGUAAAGGCCUACCAAGGCGACGAUCGGUAGCUGGUCUGAGAGGAUGGUCAGCCACACUGGGACUGAGAUACGGCCCAG